rnacentral:rRNA from 1 species
GAUUAACGCUGGCGGCGUGCAUGAGACAUGCAAGUCGAACGGACACAUGGGGCUUGCUCCAUGUGUUAGUGGCGGACGGCUGAGUAACGCGUAGGUGACCUGCCCCGAAGUGGGGGAUAA